rnacentral:rRNA from 1 species
AGUGAACGCUGGCGGUAGGCCUAACACAUGCAAGUCGAACGGCAGCACAGUAAGAGCUUGCUCUUACGGGUGGCGAGUGGCGGACGGGUGAGGAAUACAUCGGAAUCUACUUUUUCGUGGGGGAUAACGUAGGGAAACUUACGCUAAUACCUCAUACGACCUACGGGUGAAAGCAGGGGUUCUUCGGACCUUGCGCGACUGAAUGAGCCGAUGUCGGAUUAGCUAGUUGGCGGGGUAAAGGCCCACCAAGGCGACGAUCCGUAGCUGGUCUGAGAGGAUGAUCGGCCACACUGGAACUGAGACACGGUCCAGACUCCUACGGGAGGCAGCAGUGGGGAAUAUUGGACAAUGGGCGCAAGCCUGAUCCAGCCAUACCGCGUGGGUGAAGAAGGCCUUCGGGUUGUAAAGCCCUUUUGUUGGGAAAGAAAAGCAGCAGGUUAAUACCCCGCUGUUCUGACGGUACCCAAAGAAUAAGCACCGGCUAACUUCGUG